GUGAACCUGUAUUUUUUUCUUCACAAAUGACUAGCCUGGAUCUUGCAGUUUCAAUAAAAAGAGAUGAACUUUGGUAACUGGACAUGAGCAGUUUCUCCUCUAGCUUUUGUUGUCCCUCUGGAGUGGAUUCUGGUGUACUGCUGCCUCUGAGAUGGUCCCUGUGCUGCCAGGCUUACUCUGUUGGCUGUACUUUCAGCCUCAUCCAUGCUGCUUUCUGGCAGACUGCUACAGGGAAGUGCUCUGGACAAAAAUCAGGAUCUGAAGAAUGGACCUUGUGCAGAGACUUCCUUUCAAGAUGGUCUAGCACCUUGAAAUGUUUGGAAACAGUUUGCUUUCCCCCCUCUGAGGAUGAACUUCUGUAGGGUUUAGGGUGCCACUGUUGGCACUCAGCAAGCAUUUAGAAAAAUUAAGACAGCUCUGUGCUUAGGUCUCAGAAAGGAGCACUGCAGGAAGCACAUCCUUGUACUGCCACACCCAAGUGGGUUGUCAGGGUGCAGCCCCACCACUGUCGCUCCUUGGCUCUGUGCUCUGGAUGUGGCACAUGUGCUCCCUGAGGCAUGAGAACCAGAGUUCUGCUGGCUGCCAGGGCAUGCCAAGGUCUUGAAGUGACCACCAAAAUGUCGUUGUUAUUUCGAGAACAAGACCAAGCAGAUCCUGCCUAUGAAGAGCACGGUGUAGUAGUUUCUGUUCUCAGACCUCGGUUUCAGCACAUCAGGGUUACUUCAAUAAAUUAAAAAUAAAAAAUAAAUACUUUGGUAUAUUUUGGCUAGUAUAAAACACUCUUGACUGACAAAUAACCUGCUGAAGAAUCAGGCCUGCUCUUUGGGCUACUAUGGGCUUGAACAUCUCAUUUUAGCCUGCCUAAUCCAAAUUGCUUUAUCAGACUAAAUACUAAAAGUAAGGAAAAUAGGAAUCCAACAAAGUUCCAAUUGUUUUGAGCCAGUCUUUUAUUUGCUUGUUCAGAUCCCUUUCAGAAUUUGGAAGCAAGCAAGUACUUUAUUACUCUCUAAAAUGUUUCUUUCCCUCCCCCUUA